rnacentral:rRNA from 1 species
GACAGAGGGGGCAAGCGUUGUCCGGAGUUACUGGGCGUAAAGCGCGCGUAGGCGGUACGGUAAGUAAGGUGUGAAAGCCCCAGGCUUAACCUGGGGAGGUCAUCUUCGACUGCCGCACUCGAGUCGUGCAGAGGGUGGUGGAAUUGCCGGUGUAGUGGUGAAAUGCGUAGAGAUCGGCAGGAACACCAAGGGCGAAAGCAGCCACCUGGGCACGUACUGACGCUGAGGCACGAAAGCGUGGGGAGCAAACAGG